rnacentral:rRNA from 1 species
UGUUCCAUGGAAUCCUUGCCUGCCGCCAUGCAUCCCUGGGUCUGCCUAUGGCCUGCUGGGCAUUACGUGGGCUGCCAGAAGGCAGCUGGAAAAUUCUCUGCUAAUGCUAUGUAAAGAUGCUGUAUGGGGCUAUCCCUGCAGAUGCCUGUCCGAUAUGAGAGGAUGGCAUUCUUUCUUCUUGCUAUGAUAAGAGCAGCGCUGCUAGGUCAUAAGCGCAGCAGCGGCUAGAGUCUAUGAGCUGUCUAGCUCUGCUCUGCUGGUUAAAUACCUAGCAUCGUCCCGAGAUGUCUAGCGGCAUGAUUAGUUGGCGCAUUAAAGCGCUCCUGUAGCCUGGCCGUAUUCAAGACUUCUCUCGUUAAAUCUCAGCGAUUCAAUCGUUGGACUGCUGGGAGAUACAUGUUUGUGCUAGGAGACUGGGAGAAGCCUGACUGGUAUUUUUGCGAGUAGGGGUAAAAUUUUAUAAAUUUCGGGAAGACCACUCAGAUGGCUGUAGGCGGUCGGCUAGCACUGCUGCUUCUGACUGGUGAGGGACUGAAAGCUGGGGAGAGCUGAACCAGAUUAGAAUACCCGGGAAGUCCCAGCUGUAAACGAUGCGGACUUAGGUGUUGGAGCGGCAUACAGCCGCUUCAGUGCCGCAGGGAAGCCAUUAAGUUCGCCGCCUGGGGAGUACGGCCGC